rnacentral:rRNA from 1 species
AUGAAAGAUCAAUUCGCCGACCUUCCUAGUGAGGAUUCCACUACUCAUCUAAACAACCUUGUUGAUUUGUGUGAUAUGCAAAAGAAGAAAGAUACGUAUAAUGAUAUUGUUAAAUUGAAGUUAUUUCCGUUUUCACUUAGAGAUCGUGCUAAAGUUUGGUUUUCGUCUUUGCCUAAAAAUAGUAUUCAUUCUUGGAACAAGUGCAAAGAUGCUUUUAUCUCUAAGUAUUUUCCUCCCGCUAAGAUCAUCACUCUUAGGAAUGAUAUUAUGAAUUUUAAACAACUUGAUCAUGAGCAUGUUUCCCAAUCUUGGGAAAGAAUGAAAUUGAUGAUUCACAAUUGCCCUACUCAUGGCUUGAAUUUAUGGAUGAUCAUACAAAAAAUUUAUGCCGGUUUGAACUUUGCUUCUAGAAAUCUUUUAGAUUCGGCCGCGGGAGGCACUUUUAUGGAAAUCACGUUAGGAGAUGCUACAAAACUUCUUGAUAAUAUUAUGGCUAAUUAUUCUCAAUGGCACAUCGAAAGAUCUUCUAGUAAAAAAGUGCAUGCUAUAGAAGAAAUCAAUGUUUUGAGUAGAAAGAUGGAUGAACUUAUGAAGUUGUUUGCUACUAAAAAUACUCCUCUUGAUCCCAAUGAUAUGCCUUUGUCUACUUUGAUUGAGAAUAAUAAUGAAUCUAUGGAUGUGAAUUUUGUUGGUAGGAAUAGUUUUGGAAACAAUGCUUAUAGAGGAAACUUUAAUCCUAGACCGUUCCCUAGUAAUUCCUCUAAUAAUUAUGGAAAUUCCUAA